rnacentral:rRNA from 1 species
UAACCUGCCUUGGAGUGGGGAAUAACAGCUGGAAACAGCUGCUAAUACCGCAUAAUGCAGUUGGGUCGCAUGGCUCUGACUGCCAAAGAUUUAUCGCUCUGAGAUGGACUCGCGUCUGAUUAGCUAGUUGGCGGGGCAACGGCCCACCAAGGCGACGAUCAGUAGCCGGACUGAGAGGUUGGCCGGCCACAUUGGGACUGAGACACGGCCCAGACUCCUACGGGAGGCAGCAG